UUCCCUCCCCAUAGGAAGGAGGGCCCACAAUCAUUCGAAAGACACAUGAGCUCAUUUGGCUACCCCUCGAUGGUAGCAAUACAAGGAUCUGUGAUGCUUAUGAGACUUCAGGUGUGGAUAUGGAGAAAUUUGUUAUGGGAAGAUAAGCUGCACAUGCCGUUCACUGUUGGCAAAUGUAAAGUAAUGAGAUUACCGGCCAUUCGCAUUGGGCCUCCAGCAGUUUGGAGUUCCUCCCCCUGCUCCCCCUCCCCUGCUGCACUCUGCGAGGGCGGGAACCGGGCUAUGCGCUCCGUGGGGGAGCGCGGCAGCGUGUCCACGCUGUUCUGAGCAGCACGGCAUGGUGUGUGGAAUUCACUGCAAAGUAUCCCAUCCUUAUCCCUCAACUUAGAUGUCUCUCUGUAUAUUCGCCCGCAUCAUAGAGAUGGGUGUCAACCAAGUGCUCGAUCCAAACAUCUCAGAACCUUGGAGAGAAGAAAUGGGAAUCAGAACCCAGAUCUGCAUUGUACAUCUGGCUUUUGUCUCGGUAAUGGGUCAAAACAAAACACUGGAUCCAAACACUGCUUUUUUUGGGGGGGGGAGUGCUUUUGUAUUUUACUACUCAGGCCUAGAUAAUGUACACAUUGAGUCUAUAAUCGUAUAUCGAUAUGAUUUAUUAUUUAUGCAGUCCCAGAGAUGUCCAAAAGGAUUAUAUGUGUAACUUCAUCUUUUCCAGGGAUGCUUACUGUAGCAGGAUGCUGGUGCAAAAGCACCUAAUUAGCCCCUGCCCAGUCAGCUCCAAUCAGGGGAAACAGAUUGGGGCUGAUGGAAAAGGCCUGAUGCUUGCCUGAGGAUUGGCAACACCUGCUGGCCUGACAAGCCAAGGGCUAUAAAGGCUGGAGGCAGCCAGGGAGAAGUCAGUCAGGGAACUGGAGGCCUCCUAGCUGAAGGCUGAUUCUGCCUGUAAAAGAGGUUGAAUAAUCCUGUAAAGCUCUAAUAAAUUUGUUAGUCUCUAAGGUGCCACAAGUACUCCUGUUCUUCUUUUUGCGGAUACAGACUAACACGGCUGUUACUCUGAAACCUGUAAAGCUUGUAAAUAGACAGACACUGG